AAUUAUACUGAAGGUCACUAUACUAUUAGUAAGUUUAUAUAUUUUGGUCACUCAACUUCAAAAAGUUACAUAACAAUUAAUCAAAAGUUUUCAUAUAAGUCAUUGGGAUGUUAAAAUCAUUGUUGUAUGAUCUUUCUCUGUUCUCACUCUUGCACCAAUCAAAAGCUCUCUUUCCAUAUAUCUUCUUCAAUUCAUUUUUUUUCAUGAAACAACUUUUAAUGUCACGAAUCUAUAAACCAAAAUUAAAAUAGUUUUCUUUUCUG
rnacentral:lncRNA from 1 species